UAACGACUCUCGGCAACGGAUAUCUCGGCUCUCGCAUCGAUGAAGAACGUAGCGAAAUGCGAUACUUGGUGUGAAUUGCAGAAUCCCGUGAACCAUCGAGUCUUUGAACGCAAGUUGCGCCCGAAGCCAUUANGCCGAGGGCACAUCUGCCUGGGCGUCACGCA
rnacentral:rRNA from 1 species